rnacentral:rRNA from 1 species
GGCCUACGGGAGGCAGCAGUGGGGAAUAUUGCGCAAUGGGCGAAAGCCUGAUGCAGCGACGCCGCGUGUGGGAAGACGGUCCUCUGGAUUGUAAACCACUGUCCCCAGGGACGAAGAUGACGGUACCUGGGGAGGAAGCUCCGGUUAACCACGUGCCAGCAGCCGCGGUAAUACGUAGGGAGCGAGCGUUGUCCGGAAUUACUGGGUGUAAAGGGAGCGUAGGCGGGGAUGCAAGUUGGGUGUCAAAACUACCGGCUCAACUGGUAGUCGCACUCAAAACUGCAGCUCUUGAGUGAAGUAGAGGG